rnacentral:lncRNA from 1 species
CGGCCGCCGCUUGCCCGGGGAGCGGCGCGGCGGGAGCCCGAGCCGCGGGCUGGGCAACGGGAGCGGGACCCGCGCGGCGCUGAGCGAGUGUUGAGCCCUUCUUCUCUUGUGUUCCUCGUCUUUUGCUUUCGGCAAGUUUCGCUGGCGCGGGGCGGGGGGGGGGGAGGAUUUUUCCUCUUUCUUUUACCUCCAGGAACUGCUGCUUUACAACCUGUAGCGAUAAGACAGCCUCGCAUCAGAUGAUCACAGAGAUAAGUAAUCUCUCCCCUCGGCCAGUGGUAUAGCUGACCGUAUGCUCUUGAAUCUUAGAGCGCUAAGUCUUUCCUGUGAAUGAACGAGAAAACACUCGACAGGUCGUGAAUAAUCGUUUUAAUGAGUGUGUAAAAGCGUGCGACGGGGUGCACGGAGCUGUCGGGUUAAACAAACAACUUGUACCCUGACGAAAUCCGAUUGUUAAAGUGCAAAGUGGUGUCAGUCCAAUUUCCAUCCCAGUUCUAAAAACCACAGAUCUAAGUCGCGGGAGUCCAAUUUUCCCCAUUAAGAAAAAUAACAAUAUUUUCUGAACGUAAGUGCGAUAGUCCCUAAUGUUAGCCUUUGGCGAAAAAAGACCAGUUGCAUAUUAGAGGUACCGAAGCUAUUUUUAUAACUUUUUGUUAUUUUUAAAGACGAUAGUUAAAAAGUGUGUAUUUGACAUUUUCCUAUAUAUUAUCAGAUCAAUGCAGUAAAUAUUUUCCUUUUUUGUGUGUCCGUCGCCUCCCUCUCCGUAUGUUUUUUUUUUUUUUUUUUUUUUUUUUUUUUUUUUUUUUUUUUUUUUUUUUUUUUUUUUCACAGAUCACUGGAGGCAAACAUCGAAUUAAUUGGAUCUCAAUGACUGAGCCUGGCAUUGGAAUAGCCAUGUGUGUUUCCUGUACAACUAGAGGGCCUUCCUUGCACUAUUUUGUAAAAGCAAAUACCACUCUUCUAAGCCCAGUGAUUAUUUUUUCAAGGUUAGUAAUGACGCAUAUUCCUAAUGUUUAUUGUUGAUAAAGACUUUCAGACCGACUGCAGGUCUGGCACUUUCUAUGAAGAGUCAUUUUCAGAUGUGUCCUCCCUUUCUUUGAAAGUACCGGCUUGAGCAAAGUGAGAUGAGGCAAGGCAACCCCAGCUGGAAACCAACGCUUUUUAAAGUUUCUCUGCUCUUUCAAUUAAUACUCGAUUUUUUCACAAAUAAUAUGACAUUGAAAAAUGAACGAUAUGAUAAGCUGUAUUAUUA